rnacentral:lncRNA from 1 species
AAUGCCGCAAGAGAGAAAAAGGAGAGGAGGAACACGAUAAAGAUAUCAGAAACAACAAUGGAAUGCCGCAAGAGAGAAAAAGAAGAGGUGCCGCAAGCGAGAAAAAUAAGAGGUGCCGCAAGAGAAAAAGGAGAAGAGGAAGACGAUAUCAGAAACUGAAUGCCGCAAAGAGUUUGCGGUUUAUUUAAAAUGAAAUUGGGCGUCGAUUGCUCCAGAAAUUGACGUCUAUAGUCACAUAGACGUCGGUUAUCCCACUAAUAUGAUGUCCAAGUUAACAUUUAAACUGACUUUUUGAAUACCCAUUAGACGUCGAUUUCGAUGGGAGUCGACGUCUAGGAAGUGAAGGGAUUGACGUUUGAUUUCUUGUCAAGGAUGUUCACGACAGUUGUGAUAGGGCGUUGACGUCUAAGGCCCUCGAGUUUGGUGAACAUAAUUAAUUACAGGCACAUAGACGUCGCUUCCCCUCAACACCAACAUCUAAAUUGAAGAAUUUUUUUGUCUUCCCGCC